GCCAUUUUGGCCCCUGCGGCCGGUCCUCGGGGCACCGUGGCCGCCCGUCCUAUCCGGCCGACCUUCCCUCGCGGGCCGUGCGCCCGGAGCCCACGCGGCGCCGCCUGGCGGGGUCUUGGCGGGACCGGCGGACUCUGAAUAAACUGAAAGCCAUUGAACUGUACAUUUUACGGAACAAAGGGCACCAAAGAGGUGGGGUGCACAGAGUGGUUAUAUACCCCCAGAGAGGAUGUUUCACAUAGGAUUGAAAUGUCCCUUUUACAGUAGUCACAAGACUGCUCUGUGGGCACAGCGAUUGAUGGACACAGCAGGUAGGUCUGCUCUCUCAGUGAACACAGCAGGGUGGCAGUCUGUUGUCUCCAGCUGACUGGUCACAGGUGAGCUGGGUGGUCAAAGGUGAGUGCAGCAAUCAGUUCCUAGCCUAAGGAAAGAUGCUUAUCCCUAAGGAAAUGCUAAUGUGGGGGGAAGUUGCACCUUUAUCUCAAGGGCCUUUGUUCUGG
rnacentral:lncRNA from 1 species